CCAUGUUGUACAUUUCACCUUAAACGUUAACUUUGGCAGCAGUAACCUGUAAUCCAGACUAGACUAAUGAGGAGUAAUAGGAGACUAAAUUGAGUCAAAUAGUAUCAAAUGUAUUAUCAUUAUUAUUAUUAACAAUCACUAGAGGCAAUCAAGACUACAAGAAUGUAUUACUGGGGACAUUGAUGCUUGCAUUCAAAGAAAACUGGACCCUUUACCAUCACCCCCAGAUUGUGAUCAGCUCCUGUCAGUCUUUUCACUGUUACUGAUCCCCACAGGACUGCUGUGUAUCACACAACAUGCUUCAGCAGGAAGUCAACUACCACCUGCACCUUGGAGGACUGAAUUUCAGAUUCCAUGACAGAAGUUGAAACAGGAACGUCCUGCCCCUUCAUCUGAUUGCCAGUCUAAGUUGCAGAUGUUUCAGCUACACAGGUGGAGACACAGGAGGGGGCGGACAUGUGGGAGGGCGACCAGACGAUGUGGAUCCAUGCGUGGAGAAGCACAAAGGAAAAAGUUGAAGCAGUCCAGAAGAAAGGACAGAGCAUGAUAAAAAACAAUGCUAGAAGGUGAGAACCGAACGCCAAA